UUUGAAAUCUGGCGGUCUAAGGCCGUCCGAGUUGUAAUCUAGAGAGGUGUUUUCCGUGCCGGACCGUGUACAAGUCCCUUGGAACAGGGCGUCGUAGAGGGUGAGAAUCCCGUCCAUGACACGGACUACCGGUGCUCUGUGAUACACCUUCAAAGAGUCGAGUUGUUUGGGAAUGCAGCUCAAAACGGGUGGUAAAUUCCAUCUAAAGCUAAAUACAGGCGAGAGACCGAUAGCGAACAAGUACCGUGAGGGAAAGAUGAAAAGAACUUUGGAAAGAGAGUUAAACAGUACGUGAAAUUGUUGAAAGGGAAACGCUUGAAGUCAGUCGCGUCCGCCGGGACUCAGCCUUGCUUCUGCUUGGUGCACUUCUCGGUGGAUGGGCCAGCAUCGAUUUUGGCCGCCGGAAAAGGGCGGGAGGAAUGUGGCAGCUUUUUGCUGUGUUAUAGCCUCCCGUCGUACACGGUGGCCGGGAUCGAGGAA
rnacentral:rRNA from 1 species